rnacentral:rRNA from 1 species
UACGAAGGGGGGCUAGCGUUGCUCGGAAUCACUGGGCGUAAAGGGUGCGUAGGCGGGUCUUUAAGUCGAGGGGUGAAAUCCUGGAGCUCAACUCCAGAACUGCCUUUGAUACUGAGGAUCUUGAGUUCGGGGAGAGGUGAGUGGAACUGCGGAGUGUAGAGGUGAAAUUCGUAGAUAUUCGCAAGAACACCAGUGGCGAAGGCGGCUCACUGGCCCGAUACUGACGCUGAGGCACGAAAGCGUGGGUAGCAAACAGGG